rnacentral:rRNA from 3 species
UAGGGAAUCUUCGGCAAUGGACGAAAGUCUGACCGAGCAACGCCGCGUGAGUGAAGAAGGUUUUCGGAUCGUAAAACUCUGUUGUUAGAGAAGAACAAGGACGUUAGUAACUGAACGUCCCCUGACGGUAUCUAACCAGAAAGCCACGGCUAACUACGUGCCAGCAGCCGCGGUAAUACGUAGGUGGCAAGCGUUGUCCGGAUUUAUUGGGCGUAAAGCGAGCGCAGGCGGUUUCUUAAGUCUGAUGUGAAAGCCCCCGGCUCAACCGGGGAGGGUAAUUGGAAACUGGGAGACUUGAGUGCAGAAGAGGAGAGUGGAAUUCCAUGUGUAGCGGUGAAAUGCGUAGAUAUAUGGAGGAACACCAGUGGCGAAGGCGGCUCUCUGGUCUGUAACUGACGCUGAGGCUCGAAAGCGUGGGGAGCAAACAGG